rnacentral:rRNA from 1 species
GAUGAACGCUGGCGGCGUGCCUAAUACAUGCCAGUCGAGCGAACAGAUGAGGAGCUUGCUCCUUUGACGUUAGCGGCGGACGGGUGAGUAACACGUGGGUAACCUACCUAUAAGACUGGGAUAACUUCGGGAAACCGGAGCUAAUACCGGAUAACAUUUGGAACCGCAUGGUUCUAAAGUGAAAGAUGGUUUUGCUAUCACUUAUAGAUGGACCCGCGCCGUAUUAGCUAGUUGGUAAGGUAACGGCUUACCAAGGCGACGAUACGUAGCCGACCUGAGAGGGUGAUCGGCCACACUGGAACUGAGACACGGUCCAGACUCCUACGGGAGGCAGCAGUAGGGAAUCUUCCGCAAUGGGCGAAAGCCUGACGGAGCAACGCCGCGUGAGUGAUGAAGGGUUUCGGCUCGUAAAACUCUGUUAUUAGGGAAGAACAAACGUGUAAGUAACUGUGCACGUCUUGACGGUACCUAAUCAGAAAGCCACGGCUAACUACGUG